rnacentral:rRNA from 1 species
GAUGAACGCUGGCGGCGUGCCUAAUACAUGCAAGUCGAGCGAACAGACGAGGAGCUUGCUCCUCUGACGUUAGCGGCGGACGGGUGAGUAACAUGUGGAUAACCUACCUAUAAGACUGGGAUAACUUCGGGAAACCGGAGCUAAUACCGGAUAAUAUAUUGAACCGCAUGGUUCAAUAGUGAAAGACGGUUUUGCUGUCACUUAUAGAUGGAUCCGCGCCGCAUUAGCUAGUUGGUAAGGUAACGGCUUACCAAGGCGACGGUGCGUAGCCGACCUGAGAGGGUGAUCGGCCACACUGGAACUGAGACACGGUCCAGACUCCUACGGGAGGCAGCAGUAGGGAAUCUUCCGCAAUGGGCGAAAGCCUGACGGAGCAACGCCGCGUGAGUGAUGAAGGUCUUCGGAUCGUAAAACUCUGUUAUUAGGGAAGAACAAAUGUGUAAGUAACUAUGCACGUCUUGACGGUACCUAAUCAGAAAGCCACGGCUAACUACGUG